rnacentral:sRNA from 1 species
CCAAUGCUCGGAGGAAACCCAAGGGCAGCCCUCGUGUACCUGAUGCCAAGAAGCCUAAACCCAAGAAAGUAGCUCCCCUGAAAAUCAAGCUGGGAGGUUUUGGUUCCAAGCGUAAGAGAUCCUCGAGUGAGGAUGAUGACUUAGAUGUGGAAUCUGACUUCGAUGAUGCCAGUAUCAAUAGCUAUUCUGUUUCUGAUGGUUCCACCAGCCGUAGUAGCCGCAGCCGCAAGAAACUCCGAACCACUAAAAAGAAAAAGAAAGACCACCAGGACUAUUGCGAGGUGUGCCAGCAAGGCGGUGAGAUCAUCCUGUGUGAUACCUGUCCCCGUGCUUACCACAUGGUCUGCCUGGAUCCCGACAUGGAGAAGGCUCCCGAGGGCAAGUGGAGCUGCCCACACUGCGAAAAGGAAGGCAUCCAGUGGGAAGCUAAAGAGGACAAUUCGGAGGGUGAGGAGAUCCUGGAAGAGGUUGGGGGAGACCUCGAAGAGGAGGAUGACCACCAUAUGGAAUUCUGUCGGGUCUGCAAAGAUGGUGGGGAACUGCUCUGCUGUGAUACCUGUCCUUCUUCCUACCACAUCCACUGCCUGAAUCCCCCACUUCCAGAGAU